AUGGGCAACUACAUGAGCAACCAGUUGUCGUACCGGCACACGCAGCGGGUGGUGGUGAAGAUGGACAUGGAGAAAGGCGGCUGCGGCACCGAGUUCCACUGGGCCCGCACGAAUUGCGAGGGGAGGAAGAACGCCGCCGACGUGCAACGCUGCAUCAAGUCGACGGCGGCGCUGCAGGAGUGCAUGGAGGGCAACAAGUGCCACUUCAACAACUACAUCAAGAUCAUGAACAAAGGGCUGGACGAGGACGAGCAGCGCCACGGGAGCAGCAGCAGAUACUUGUUGUUUUGGGAACAACAGGAUCGCCGGUGGAGGUGGAGGUGGUGGACCGGCAUGAUCAGGACCUCGCCGCCACCGGCCUCUGAUAAUCCCUUCGCCGCCCCCUCAACUAGAUAG
rnacentral:rRNA from 1 species